GCAAGAAAAUGUGGAGCAGUUCAAUAACUUGUGUCGUCGCCAGACUUGUGUGUGUGUGAAGGAAGUGGGGGGUGCAUGCAUGUGGGAAUGCGUGUGCUUGUUUAUCUGUGUAAAAGCACGGAAGGAACGGGAGGUAGGGAGGGCGAGAGAGGGGGAGAGGGAGAGAUUUGUAAGGCACUUGUAUUUGCAAACUACUGGCUGAGUUCCCACUAGAGGCAGAGAGAUCACGCUGAAAGACUGCGUGUCAGGAGUAUGUAUCCGUGUGUGUGUGUGUGUGUGUGUGUGUGUGUGUGUGUGUGUGUGUGUGUGUGUGUGUGUGUCUGGAAGAGAGACAGGCAGACAGUGAGCGAGAGGAACCCGUUCAACUCAUUUCAGCAGUGAAUUCUCAGCCAGUCUAAAUGAGGUUUCUCCUCGCAUAUGGAAGCUUUUUGCUCUCGUGUUUGAUUUUUCCCUCCUUCCGUCCAGUCACCACAGUUUCACGCUGCCGCUGAACUUUUGGUCGCACUUGACGCUGAACGUGACAGCAGCACAGGCUCAGCGCAGACACACGAGUCUUCUUGGUAGUUCAGUGAAAAUGAAGACGAUGACAAUGGCGCUCAUCGUGUCUGCGAGGCUAUUAAAGGAAACCACAACCUUUGCAUCACCGCCUCUCCUCGCUCGCUCCUGCUGGCUUCUCGUCACCAUCACUCGAGGUUGCACGCCAACAAGGGUGGUAACGUGCUUUGGCAUGGAGGCGCUCCACACGGGCCAAGAGAUACACAGCAGCACACACUGACAGACACCAAGGCUUGUGAAACAGCACAGCUUGUCGUUUUUGUGGAAAAUUACCUUCAAAGUUAAUAUUUCUCACCUUUAUAACCACAUAACACAGAAAAGUCUGGCACACCUGAUGUUAGAGCAGUUUAGGGUGUCUGUGUGAGACAAAUAUGGGUUUUUCAAAAGCACUUUACUACCCAACAGGUAAUAAUUUAACAUGUACUUCAUGUAUCAACAAAGUAACUAUCAAGCUGCUCAGUAUUUGAAUGCAGUUAGUUUAAUUCAAUGCUCUUCGACAGACACCUUCCCCUAAACUGCUGUAUGAUCGCAGCAAUUUAUGUAACAUCAGAUUAAAAAAAGACAACUGACACUCGUGACCCGAGGCCACAAAAUGACAGCUUCCCCAAAAAAGCUGUGAAAAAAAAAAAUCAGUUUUUUAAAAACUAAUCAUAUUUAAUUAUUUGGGGAUUUUAACCCUUUAAAGGCCAGUAUGUUUACAUACACACCCGUACAGCUGCUGAUUUUUAUUAUUAAAACUAAAAUAAUUUCAAUAAAAUACAUUUCAAGUAGUAUAUGAUUCAAUGUUUAUUAGGCCUGAGAUGGUUCACGGCAGCAAGAUUGAUUUUCAUAUAUUAUUAGAAUAUUAGCUACCAAUAUAUAGCUACUACCAAACAUACACUGUCUGAUGAGCUAAUGAUAUCAUGCCAGGUAAACAAUGUUUCCUAGCUUUGGGUAGUCCCCAGAAGAUCUGUUAUAAAUGAUUUUACCUACUCAGGCUGUUUUUAUGUAACAGCUAGCAACCACAGGCUAAUAAAAUACAGUACAGUAGCUAACUUCAUGGCUGUCGUUUCUGCAAUGCUAGCAUACAGUUUACGUUUAAAAGUAAGCAAUGCUAAUAAACUCAAUGUUUAUUGAUAGAGUAGAGUUAACCAAAGAAACAGCCUGCACACAAGCUAAUUUUGCUGACACAUUGCAACUCGUUUCUAAACUUUCAAUCUUUGCUGACUAUUAGCAAAACAAACUUGGCAAAACAUCUGAAAGGCUGACACCCUGUAACAUUAACAGUCAAAAAAGCUACAUUUACUCAGAUAUAUUCAGCUGCUCCCUUAUUCAGUUGAAGUCAGUGUUAAUUCACAAUUAUUCAUGUCUAAAAAUGUUAUUCUUCUCUUCAAGUCCAAGACUGAAACAGAGAAAAAGCUACGGAGAACCAGACAGAAACAGCGAGCGAGCUGUGGCUCAAUAGAUCUGGACAGACAAGAGUUGCUCUAAUCUAUAUUUUGAAAAUUGUCUCUUGAGUUUGUCAUUUCCCCGUCUGUGAUAAUAAAAAUGUCAUCACGUA